CAGCCUCUCACAUCCCAGCCCUAAAUGCUGAAGUCGGGCCCGGGGAGGCAGACACCUCGCUAAGCUCCACAGCUGAUUCACAAGCACGUACACCUUCGAAACCCCUUGUAGUAGGCGAGAGACGGACCCGUGUGUCUCUGCAGGGAAAGAUAAAUGAUAAAGAGGCAAUCGAUUUCAGCUGGCUUCAGCCUGUGACGUCUCCAUGCUCACAGGCAGCCUCAGUGCAAUUUACGCAGCGUCAGGGGAUCACCCAGCACGCCGUGACCCAAACCGAGUUCUGCAGAAGCAAGAAGAAAGGUAGACCACCUGUGCUGUGAAUUCAGUGUCUGAUUCUUAAGGUCUUCCCACCAUCCAUUACUCCUCGAACUUGAGAGCAAGAAGUCCUCCAAAACCCUUGCCGACAGCCUGAUUCGUGGCUCCAAGGAUCGGAGAAGGUGGAUCCUGAUCUGGCCUGGGAUAGCUGAAAAAGAAGGAAAAGCCUUGCUUUCAUGAAAAAUAGCUAUCAUGGGCUGGAGUGUGUCCCCCCAAAAUUCAUGUGGUGGUCUUCACUCCCAGGACCUCAGAACGUGAGUGUAUUUGGAGACAGGAUCUUUAAAGAGGUG
rnacentral:lncRNA from 1 species